UCACUCUUGUUUCUCUUCAGAUCGUAUAAAUCUUUCGCCUUUUACUAAAGAUUUCCGUGGAGAGGAACAACAAGAGUCUUAACCAAUUUUUUGAUGCCCUGCUUUACUGCGGGGCU
ensembl:snRNA U5 U5 spliceosomal RNA